rnacentral:lncRNA from 1 species
AGGACCUUUCUUGCAGGCUAAAUACCUUUUCUGAACAGUUACUAUAGGAACUGUUCAGUUAUUUACUAUUUUUUUUAUUAGAUCAUUUUCUUUAUUUACAUUUCAAAUGUUAUCUCCUUUCCUGGUUUCUCCUCCGCAAACCUAUCCCCUGUCCCCUAAACACCCCACCCCCCCACCCCCACCCCGCUCACCAAACCACCACUCCUGCUUCCUGGCCCUGGUAUUCCCCUACACUGGGGCUUAGAGCCUUCAUAGGACCAAAGGCCUCUCCUCCCAUUGAUGACCGACUAGGAGUUAUUUACUAUCUUAAUUGAGAUGGAAAUACACCUUUUUCUCUCUACUGUUUUCCAGGGUGAUUUUAGAACUUCUUUGAACAAAGGAGGCAGAGGAUGACAAACCCAGUAAUCUUUGAAGUUAGUGCUUGAAGAUAGUCUAGACCAAACUCAUUAUAUUUUUGACUUUUGAUAGAUCUUAAAAUUGAACAUUUUAAUUUUUUAAUAGAUAUCUUUAAAAAACCUAUUUACUUUCACUUUAUGUGCAUUAGUAUUUUGCCUACAUUUAUGUUUGUUUGAGGGUGUCAGAUCCCCUUAACUGGAGUUAUAGAAAUGUGUGAGCAGCUAGGUGGGUGUUGGGAAGUGAACUCUGGUCCUCUGGAAGAACAGUCAGUGAUUUAACAACUGUUAAUCUUUCCAGAUCCAAUUGUUUUGUGUGUGUGUGUGUGUGUGUGUAUCUGUAUGUAUCUGUGUCCGUGCAAGCACUUACAUGUGGAGAUCAGAGGAGUAUUUGAUGUAUUCUUCCUCAAAAACUCUUCACCUUGCUUUUUGGGACAGAAUCUCUUGAUGUGAUCUGGGGUUUUCUAUCAGGAGAGGCAGGCAGGCUGGCCAUCAAGCCCCUGGGCAUCUAUCUGUACCCAUUUUUCCCAGUUCAGGGAUUCUAGACAUACACUACUGUGCCUGUUAUUUGUAUUUUAUGUUGUGUGCACCAUAUAUGUGAUGCCUGAGGAACUAGAAGAAGGUAUUAGGUGCCCUGGACCUGGAGUUACUGAUGGUUGUGUGCCACUCUGUGUGCUGGGUGCUGAACCCUUGUCCUCUGCCAGAGCAGCAAGUACUGUUAACCCCUGAGCCAGGUCUCCAGCCCUGUCUAUUUUAUGUGAGUACUGGGAUCAAACAUGAGUCUUCUUGCUUGUGUGGUCAGCACUCUAUAAUAAACUCAUCUCUCUAUCCCUCUAAUACAUAACUUUAAUGUCCCCUCCACUCCCAUUGGCAAAAUGAUUUGAACAGUUUUUGUUGUUCAUUUCACUUCUGGGUGUUUCAUUCAUGGUGUAUUCUUUUCUUUCUUUGACUUUUGUUCAAUAUUAGUGUAAUGAGUUUCUUUUUCUUGCUUUUUUUUGAAGUAUUUAAUAAUAAAGUGGUAUUUUAAAAAUAAAUAACUGAGUUUUAUUAGAGCAUAACUCGUAUUAUUUUCCUCAUUCUAUUUUAUGUCAGUUAAUAUAUAUUAAGCUUGUUUGUUAAGAAAUUCCUUGUGCUCAGUGUGGUGGCGUACACCUUUAAUCCCAGCACUUGGGAGGCAGAGGCUGGUUCUGAGUUCAAGGCUAACAAAGCAAGUUUCAGGACAGCCAGAGCUACACACAGAAAUCUUUUCUUGAAUCCAUUCUCCACCUCCAUCCCCCGC